CGAGCCAUGACCUUCACCUGCGCAGAAGCGAUUUAUUGGUUUAUUGCCUUACUAGCUGUUGCCCGCGACUUCGUCUGCGUGGGCAAUAUAGAAUUUCCAAUUUCGUUUAUUUAAUCAUUCAUUGCUCAACCCCCGUAGGUGAUAGCGUGAUAAUAUAUAGCCUAUGUGUUGAACCGGCCCCCAGGUAAUAGUCAUGCAAAAUUUGAUUGAAAUCCAUGCAGUAUUUUUUGAGUUUAUCCGGGACAAACAUACAGACAAACAGAUAAACAGACAUACAGACAAAAAUUCUAAAAACUACAUAUUUGGCUUCAGAAUCGAUUAUGGAUCACCCCCCAAGUAUUCUUUAAAAAAAAUAUUCAAUGUACAGUUUUGACUUUCCUAUCAUUUUAUUAUAUGUAUAGA